AUUAUGAGCAAGUCAAUACCUUCUGAAGGUGUGUCACCUUUCUUGUUCUUCAGGCUCUCGAGGUAUGAAGGACAGUUUCUCUUCCAGUGGCCUUCGACAUUGCAGUGGAAACAUUUUCCUUUGUCGUUAGCCUUUUUCUUUUGAACUUCCUUCUUUGGCUUCUUGUCUUUUUUCUGCUUCUUAGCAGGCUUCUUUUUCUUCCAAGUAGACUUUCUCUUGGAACAGAAGUCAACUCAGCAGCAAGGACAUUGCCCCUUGAACCUUUCAAGGCUCCCUCAGCAGUUACCAACAUGUUUAUGAGUUCAGUCUUAGUGCAUUCAAUUUUAUUCAUGUGGUAGUUUACUAUAAACUGACCAAAUGAAUCAGGAAGUGACUGUAGGAUCAAAUCCACUUGCAAUUCCUUGUGCAUGU
rnacentral:lncRNA from 1 species